ensembl:lncRNA
UGUGUAACUGUGUGUGUGUGUGUGUGUGUGUGUGUGUGACUGUAUGAAAAAGAGAUGUGUUAAUGCAUAUGGAUAGAGAUGUGUAUGUAUUUGUCUGUAGGAACAAGAGAAGAGAAUAAAUGUGAAUGUGUCAGAGCAUAUGGAUACCGAUUUGUUUGAGCGACUGAUUAAAUCUGCGUACAUUUGCCUGUAGCAUUUAUUUGCAGGUAUAUGAUACAGCCUAUGUAGGUGUGUUUGUCUAUGUAUGAGUGUGUGUGUGUAUGUGUGUGUGUGUGUGUGUGUGUGUGUGUGUGUGUGUGUGUGUGUGUGUGUGUAUGUGUAUGUGUGUGUGAUAGAGAGAGAGAUUGAGAGAGAGGGGGGAUAGAAGGGAGGGAGAGUGAGAGUGUGCGACCAUGUCUAUUUGAGUGAGAGUGAGAGUGUGUGAGCGUGUCUAUUUGAGUGAGAGUGUGUGAGCAUGUCUAUUUGAGUUUGAGUAAGAGUAAGAGUGUGUGAGCGUGUCUAUUUGAGUGAGAGUAAGAGUGUGUGACCAUGUCUAUUUGAGUUAGAGUGAGAGUAAGAGUGUGUGACCAUGUGAGUAAGAGUGAGAGUGUGUGAGCGUGUCUAUUUGAGUGAGAGUGAGAGUGUGUGACCAUGUCUAUUUGAGUGAGAGUAAGAGUGAGAGUGUGUGAGCGUGUCUAUUUGAAUGAGAGUGAGAGUGUGUGACCGUGUCUAUUUGAGUGAGAGUAAGAGUGUGUGACCAUGUCUAUUUGAGUGACAGUGAGAGUGUGUGAGCGUGUCUAUUUGAGUGAGAGUUAGAGUGAGAGUGUGUGAGCGUGUCUAUUUGAGUGAGAGUGAGAGUGUGUGACCGUGUCUAUUUGAGUGAGAGUGAGAGUGUGUGAGCGUGUCUAUUUGAGUGAGAGUAAGAGUGUGUGAGCGUGUCUAUUUGAGUGAGAGUGAGAGUGUGUGACCAUGUCUAUUUAAAUGAGAGUAAGAGUGUGUGAGCGUGUCUAUUUGAGCGUAUUUGAAGUAAAAGCACUAACACAGGGGUUACCUGAGGGUUAGGGAAUUAGUGUCAGUCACAGGCACAGUUUAGGAUUUAGUUUCCUGUUUGUCACUUCUGCCAGACUGCAGCUUUCAAAAGCAAACAAAACAGCCUGAUCACUGUCCAGAGAGGAGU